rnacentral:lncRNA from 1 species
AAACCUUGUAGAUCAAGCCUUAGUCAUUCCAUCAUCACAUGACAUGAUGAACACUCAUGAAAAAGCUACAUGACAUCUUAUAGCACUUGUUUCAUUAUGUCAACUUGUGAUGUAAGUUUCCAUCUUCCUCCACCAUUAAAUCUCAUGGAGAAACUCUCCUAGCAUUUGUCUCAUUGUGUCUCAAAGGUAUCUAUCUAUACCUCUAAACAAUUCCGACUUCCAUGCUAGUCAAAC